rnacentral:lncRNA from 1 species
CCCCUCAGGCCAGACCAGCCAUUUUCUUUAAAUUCCUAUCACAUCCUCUGUAGCAAUGCUGGUAAAACUGAGCCAGGCUCACAUUGGAAGCCUGGAGAUCAUGGAGAGACAGCUAGUGGAGAAGAAAGGAGAGGAGGAGGACUUGGACCCUGCCCACACUGGGAGGAACCCGUACCACACAGAGCUGAGCUAUCUGCCGGCUCUCCAGGACCCACUCCGCUUCUCUGGGUGGAAGCCCCAGAACCAUGAGGAGGAAGGAUGCUUGGCAGAACAGGGUGGGGAUCAUGGGGUCCCUGCAAUGCCAGAUCCCUAAUCUUUUCAAAAAAUAACAGACACAGCUACCGAUGACCUAUGCAGUAUGCCUUUACCUUCUUUAAUCCUUACGGGACUGUGGGAAGGCUAGACUAUUAUCGAUCACUUUACGCAGAAGAGGAAACAGAGGAUUAAAAGAGCACCAGAAAGGCCAGUGUCUCCCCUAGGUCUGGGACCCUACCAGGGUUCUCUCAAGGGGUCGCACCUACAAGGAACCCCCCUCUCCUGCCUCCUCAGUUUCUCCCCUCCACCUCUGUGGGAUCAUCUGAUGAGAACAGAAACUUGCUCUAGGAUCUGCCUCUAUAAACCCAGCCUUGACCUCAAGCUAUCUCUCACUUCAUUCCCCUCCUCCUCUUCAUGGCAAAACUAUACAAAGAAUCAUGCCCACAGUGUGUUCUCACCUCCCCUCCUCUUCUCCUGAUGCAAACUGUUCUUGCCAAGGCCAGCGGUGACCUGAGCAAUGCUACAGGCACCCAGACGCCCAAGGCUUAUGGACAGGAACAAAGAGAGGUGGUUAACUUUUCCCAGCUGGACAGAAAGACAAACAUCACAUGGCCUCACUCAUAUGUGGGAGCUGAAGGAGGGGAUCUCAAGGAGGUAGAAAGUUCAAUGGUUACCAAAGCCUGUGGCGGGCCAGGGGGAAGAAGGGAGGAUGGUUAAUGGCUAGAAAUACACAGUUUGAUGGAAGAAAUAAGAAAUAGUGUUUGAUGAAUCAAUACAGUGACUAUAGUUUACAAUAAUCUAUUUUAUAUUUCGAAAUAGCUAGAAUUCGAAUGUUUCUGGAAUAAAAGACCAAUCUCUAAAAUGAUGGAUGUCUAUAUUGCACUGAUUUGAUCUUUACAAGUUACAUGAACGUGUUAAAUUAUCACAGGCAACUCAAAAAUAUGUACAUCUAUUAUGUGUCAAUAAAAUUUUUUUAAUAUAAAUAAAUGAACCUGGUGUGAUGCACCUCACCUCGCCACCACUAGGGCAAGGGGUUCGGAGAAGGGCCUGGAACACAGCCACAGGGCUCUGGGUCUGCCUCUGCCAGAGGCAACUGGGCAGUGACCACUCCAGGCCACACAUCCUCACUCAGCCACAGUCUUGGUGAGUCACUCACACGCAUGCCUGAGGAGGUUAACCCAAGAGUGCGCAGCCACUGUGCUUGGUGACAGCAAACACCAGAGCGGCAGGUGCUGGCGCAGCCCUGAUCCAUGAUUCAUGCUGGGAACACGUGUGCAGCUGUACCUAGAGAGCCCCAGCCCUGGUCCACCCUCACUGUGCCUGCACAUGGUGCCAGAGGAAGGCCUGGCCAGGGUGACCCGGGAGCAGGGCCCAGCUGGCGUCAGCACCACACCUGCUCUGUGCCUCUUGCAGGGUGGGGGAUCUCACAGCUGUGGACGUGGCCAAAGGCCCCUCAGCUCCACCUGAAUGUUGGAGUAUUUGCAAUGAGAACAUGCUCCAAUGUCCCUGUGUCACUGACAGCUCGUGCAGAUGAACAACCAAGCACAGGCUGGAGGAGGCUCCUGUGGGAAAGUGGGCUGUGGGCCAGGAAACCUCUAAUCCCAGAGCCCCAAGGAGGAGCCAAGAUGCCAGAAGAUGCCAGUGGAGGCACUGCCUCCAAGGUCCCCACAGAGGACAUUGGGCAAUGUCUGCACAUGGUUUUGGUUGUCCCGACAGGGGGUGAUACAGGACAGCCACCCAAAACAAAGAACUGCCCCACCCCAAAUGUCAGUAGUGUGGAGGCCGAGAAACCCUGCUAUGGGGCAGUGGUCAGAGACCCUUGUGCCUUGAAAGGGGCUAGGCUGGGCAGGACAGGUCGUGGACCACCUGGGGCCACAGUUCAGAGCCACGCCUGAGUCUGUGAGGCUGCCCACCCUCCCAGCUGCCAGCAUGGGGUUGGGGGGUGUCCGCCCCCAUCAGACUGAGGAGGAAACGGACACUCUGUCACCCAGAAGCAUCCCUG